GACGAACCGUACAAACGUUAUCCGGAUUCACUGGGUUUAAAGGGUGCGUAGGUGGGCAGGUAAGUCCGCGGUGAAAUCCCCGAGCUUAACUUGGGAACUGCCGUUGAUACUAUCUGUCUUGAAUAUCGUGGAGGUAAGCGGAAUAUGUCAUGUAGCGGUGAAAUGCUUAGAGAUGACAUAGAACACCAAUUGCGAAGGCAGCUUGCUACACGAUAAUUGACACUGAGGCACGAAAGCGUGGGGAGCAAACAGG
rnacentral:rRNA from 1 species